AUUUAAUUGAAGAGUUUGAUCAUGGCUCAGAUUGAACGCUGGCGGUAGGUUUUAAACAUGCAAGUCGAGCGGUAACAGACAUUUUGAUUCAGCUUGCUGAAUCUCGUGCUGACGAGCGGCGAACGGGUGAGUAACGCGUAGGAAUCUACCCAGUAGCGGGGGAUAGCCCGAGGAAACUCGGAUUAAUACCGCAUACGCCCUACGGGGGAAAGCAGGGGAUCUUCGGACCUUGCGCUAUUGGAUGAGCCUGCGUUGGAUUAGCUUGUUGGUGGGGUAAAGGCCUACCAAGGCGACGAUCCAUAG
rnacentral:rRNA from 1 species